rnacentral:rRNA from 1 species
GAUGAACGCUGGCGGCGUGCCUAAUACAUGCAAGUCGAGCGAACAGACGAGGAGCUUGCUCCUCUGACGUUAGCGGCGGACGGGUGAGUAACACGUGGAUAACCUACCUAUAAGACUGGGAUAACUUCGGGAAACCGGAGCUACUACCGGAUAACAUGUUGAACCGCAUGGUUCAACAGUGAAAGACGGUCUUGCUGUCACUUAUAGAUGGAUCCGCGCCGCAUUAGCUAGUUGGUAAGGUAACGGCUUACCAAGGCAACGAUGCGUAGACGACCUGAGAGGGUGAUCGGCCACACUGGAACUGAGACACGGUCCAGACUCCUACGGGAGGCAGCAGUAGGGAAUCUUCCGCAAUGGGCGAAAGCCUGACGGAGCAACGCCGCGUGAGUGAAGAAGGUCUUCGGAUCGUAAAACUCUGUUAUUAGGGAAGAACAAAUGUGUAAGUAACUAUGCACGUCUUGACGGUACCUAAUCAGAAAGCCACGGCUAACUACGUG